rnacentral:rRNA from 1 species
UACAGAGGUGGCAAGCGUUGUUCGGAAUUACUGGGCGUAAAGGGCGCGUAGGCGGCUUGGUCAGUCCCGUGUGAAAUCCCUCGGCUCAACUGAGGAACUGCACGGGAAACUGCCUGGCUUGAGUUCGGGAGAGGGAAGCGGAAUUCCAGGUGUAGCGGUGAAAUGCGUAGAUAUCUGGAGGAACACCGGUGGCGAAGGCGGCGUUCUGGACUGCAACUGACACUGAGGAACGAAAGCCAGGGGAGCAAACGGG